ACAGUUCUAAUAGACCUACCUUAGCUUGUGUUGAGUACUUAUUUUUCUAGCACAACAAGCAACUUCUUAUGUAUUGCUCUACGUCUUCUCUUAAGGAAAGCCAAUAGUAAGAUUGCGCCAUGUCUUUCGUUGCGGUCUUCACUCUCCUAUGUCCUAAGCGUAGAGCAUUAUGUAUUUCAAACAUCACCUUCGUUCUCUACUUGCUUUUUGAGAUAUAGAGCCACGUUUGUUUUAACUAGAUAAGUCCAUCCUUUAUUGCAGAGACUCCAAUAAGUCUCUUUUGCUUCCUUGUAGAUUUGGUCACAGCAAAUGCUUUCUUAAUUUCUAAUGCAUUAUUAUCUAUCUUGUAUGCUUCCUUCAUACCUUUGAUGAGGAGAGAGUCAUCAUAAUAGACAAUAGUACUAAGCAUCAUUAUAUCAUGAAACUUUUUUUUUAUAAACUCCGCUCUUCUACUUAGCAUGUCUCGCACUAAGUUAUCCUUAUCUAAUUUGUGAAUCAGUUCAACAUCCAUCGAGACAAUCACAUCAUAUCAUCUCAAUUUUUUUGGAGAUGUUUGCAUCUUUGAAGUAAAAUACUUGAGAGAG
rnacentral:lncRNA from 1 species